AACGAACGCUGGCGGCAUGCCUAACACAUGCAAGUCGAACGAGCCCUCCGGGUCCAGUCGCCCACGGGUUCGUCACGCGUGGGAACCUGCCCUUAGGUUCGGACUAACUCUCCGACAGGGGUGCCAAUACCGGAUAAUGUCUUCGGCCCAAAGAUUUAUCGCCUUUGGUUGGGCCCGAGUUGGAUUAGCUCGUUGGUAGGGUAAAAGCUUACCAAGGCGAUCAUCCAUAACUGGUCUGAGUGAAUGAUCAGCCACACUGAGAGUGAGACACGGCCCGGACUCCUACGGGAGGCGGCAGUGGGUGAUGGUGGACAAUGGGCGAAAGCCUGAUCGAGCUAUGCCGCGAGAGUGAUGAAGUCAUUGGGGUUGAAAUGCUCUUUUACCUGGGAAGAUAAUGACAGUACCGAGAGAGAAAGCUACGGCUAACUCCGUG
rnacentral:rRNA from 1 species